AAGUCGAGCGGUAACAUUUCUAGCUUGCUAGAUGAUGACAAGCGGCGGACGGGUGAGUAAUGCUUGGGAACAUGCCUUGUGGUGGGGGACAACAGUUGGAAACGACUGCGAAUACCGCAUAAUGUCUACGGACCAAAGGGGGCUUCGGCUCUCGCCUUUAUAUUGGGCCAAGUGGGAUUAUCUAUUUGGUGAGGUAAUGGCUCACCAAGGCGACAAUCCCUAUCUGGUUUGAGAGGAUGAUCACCCACACUGGGACUGAGACACGGCCCACACUCCUACAGGAGGCAGCACUGGGGAAUAUUGCACAAUGGGCGCAAGCCUGAUGCACCCAUGCCCCGUGUGUGAAAAAAGCCUUCUGGUUGUAAAGCACUUUCUCUCACGAGGAAAGGUUAGUAUUUAAUACCUGCUAUCUGUGACGUUACUGACAGAAAAAACACCGGCUAACUCCCUGCCACCACCCGCGGUAAUACAGAGGGUGCGAGCGUUAAUCUCAAUUACUGGGCGUAAAGCGUACACACGCGGUUUGUUAAGCGAGAUGUGAAAGCCCCGGGCUCAACCUGGGAACUGCAUUUCUAACUGUCAAACUAUAGUGUGAUAUAGGGUGGUAGAAUUUCACGUGUAUCGGUGAAAUGCGUAUAGAUCUGAAAGAAUACCGAUGGCGAAAGCAGCCACCUGUGUCAACACUGACACUCAUGUACAAAAGCGUGUGGAGCACACACGAUUAGAUACCCUGGUAGUCCACGCCCUAUACGAUGUCUACUAGAAGCUC
rnacentral:rRNA from 1 species